AUCUCCUCCCUUCGUACGUCGCCCCGUCUCUUCGUAUGUCGCCCAGCCCCCUCCCGUCCGAUCCGCGCCCGCCGCCGCGCGCGUCCUCCUCCCCCGCCCGCCCGCCGCCGCGCUUCCUCCUCCCCCGCCCGCCCGCCGGGGCACGCAUCCUCCUCCACCCGCCGGCGCGUGUCAUCCUCCGCCCGCCGGCGUGCGUCAUCCUCCUCCGCCCGCCGCCGCUCGCAUGGCACCGAAGCGCCCGGUCGCGCCCGCCGCGGCGCCGUCGGGGUCCGCGUCCGAGGCCUCCGACGCGGAGGCGGACGCGCCCCUGCACCACCCCUCCUCCCCGUCGCCAUCCAAGACGCCGCCGCCGCCGCCCAACCCUAACCCUAAUUCGUCCGCCGCCGCGCCCGCCUUGGUCGGAGGAGGAGCUCUAGGGCGCUGUUGCCGAGCGGCCGGCCAGACUCCGUGCAGUGCGUGAGGAAGCACGCGGUUGCGGGCGUGUGCCAGCACGCGCUCCUGCUAGCACCACGGCACGACCAUGCCGCGGCCCGCGACAGCGUCAAGUAACCCCUGUGAGAGCAGCGGGCGGGUGUCCGACCGUAACACGGUGGAGCUAGCUGCUUGUGAAUGGGAGGGGGACGGAGGCACAGAGCAGCGGUGCCACCCAUGCGGAUUUUCGGAUAAUGCCGGCGGCCGGCGGCGGGGGCACGAAUAGGUCGUUUGCAGUUGCAGCAGAUGUUGUCGCACGAGCUGCUCGAGGACAUCUGUAGGAAUUGGUUCGUGCUGAACUUGCCCAAGAAGGAGCUGAUCAAUGGAGUUGAUUGGUGGAGCCUAUUCUUGCUGGAGCAACCCCAACCUCAAGUUUCUCUCCUUGAAUCCUUCAAGGAUUUCGCCUCUCAGUAAAUCUGCGUGUACCUAAAUGCAUCAGUGUCACUAGAUUGACAUUUGACACUACUUUCAUUGCGUUCAAGAUAAUAGAGAUGCAAACUGUUAUCAGACCCAA